rnacentral:lncRNA from 1 species
UGGCGACCAGUGCCACAUCAGCACCUUCUACUUUGAAGCAACAAGCGGCGUGAGGGCGUAAAACAAUCCACAUUUUUGACCUGUAAGUUGUAUUGUUCUUAGCUUAGCUUUAAAACAGUCGCUAGAAAUCAGAUAACAGAUAACGUACCUUGGAUGAAAAUACCACAAAAUUACUAAAAACUCCCUUUUUGCUACAUGAAAGGAAUAUACAAGAAGUCGUGUGGCAUGAAAAUGGCACUUGUUUUUGUCACUUUAAUUUCAACCACCCGAAUUUAUUACAUUCAGUCCCAAGUGCCAUCUUUCCUGCGACACGACCCCUUUAUCUCCUAUUCUUCUUCUUCUAUUUUUAUAACAAAACACACACACACAGACAAAUCAUUUCUCUCUCUCUCUC